GACGAACGCUGGCGGCGUGCCUAAUACAUGCAAGUUGAGCGCUGAAGGCUGGUACUUGUACCAACUGGAUGAGCAGCGAACGGGUGAGUAACGCGUGGGGAAUCUGCCUUUGAGCGGGGGACAACAUUUGGAAACGAAUGCUAAUACCGCAUAAAAACUUUAAACACAAGUUUUAAGUUUGAAAGAUGCAAUUGCAUCACUCAAAGAUGAUCCCGCGUUGUAUUAGCUAGUUGGUGAGGUAAAGGCUCACCAAGGCGAUGAUACAUAGCCGACCUGGGAGGGUGAUCGGCCACAUUGGGACUGAGACACGGCCCAACAUCCUACGGGAGGCAGCAGUAGGGAAUCUUCGGCAAUGGACGAAAGUCUGACCGAGCAACGCCGCGUGAGUGAAGAAGGUUGUCGGAUCGUAAAACUCUGUUGGUAGAGAAGAACGUUGGUGAGAGUGGAAAGCUCAUCAAGUGACGGUAACUACCCAGAAAGGGACGGCUAACUACGUG
rnacentral:rRNA from 1 species